UAGCCAAAUGGUUAAGGCUAUGGAUCGCCGAUCCGGAGACGACGGGUUCAAUUCCCGU
rfam:Aedes albopictus isolate Foshan contig76491, whole genome shotgun sequence.